AUUGAACGCUGGCGGCAGGCCUAACACAUGCAAGUCGAACGCGUGGCGGACGGGUGAGUAAUGUCUGGGCAACUGCCCGAUGGAGGGGGAUAACUUCUGGAAACGGUAUCUAAUCCCGCAACACCUCUGAUGUGCCGAGAUGGGAUUAGCUAGUAGGUGGGGUAACGGCUCACCAAGGCGACGCUCGGUAGCUGGUCUGAGAGGACGACCAGCCACACUGGAACUGAGACACGGCCCAGACGCCUACGGGAGGCAGCAGUGGGGAAUAUUGGACAAUGGGCGAAAGCCUGAUCCAGCCAUGCCGCGUGUGGGAAGAAGGUCUUCGGAUUGUAAACCGCUUUUGUCAGGGAAGCGGUACCUGAAGAAUAAGCACCGGCUAACUACGUGCCAGCAGCCGCGGUAAUAC
rnacentral:rRNA from 1 species